rnacentral:rRNA from 1 species
ACGGCCAGAGAUGGUCGCCCCCUUGUGGUCGGUGUACAGGUGGUGCAUGGUUGUCGUCAGCUCGUGUCGUGAGAUGUUGGGUUAAGUCCCGCAACGAGCGCAACCCUCGUUCUAUGUUGCCAGCGCGUAAUGGCGGGAACUCAUAGGAGACUGCCGGGGUCAACUCGGAGGAAGGUGGGGAUGACGUCAAAUCAUCAUGCCCCUUAUGUCUUGGGCUUCACGCAUGCUACAAUGGCCGGUACAAAGGGCUGCGAUACCGUAAGGUGGAGCGAAUCCCAAAAAGCCGGUCUCAGUUCGGAUUGAGGUCUGCAACUCGACCUCAUGAAGUCGGAGUCGCUAGUAAUCGCAGAUCAGCAACGCUGCGGUGAAUACGUUCCCGGGUCUUGUACACACCGA